GAUGAACGCUGACAGAAUGCUUAACACAUGCAAGUCUACUUGAACUUCGGUUUUGGCGGCUGACGGGUGAGUCACGCGUAAAGAACUUGCCUCACAGAUAGGGACAACAUUUGGAAACGAAUGCUAAUACCUGAUAUUAUGACUCUAGGGCAUUCUAGAAUUAUGAAAGCUAUAUGCACUGUGAGAGGGCUUUGCGUCCCAUUAGCUAGAUGGAGAGGUAACGGCUCACCAAGGCGAUGAUGGGUAGCCGGCCUGAGAGGGUGAUCGGCCACAAGGGGACUGGGACACGGCCCUUACGCCUACGGGGGGCAGCAGUGGGGAAUAUUGGACAAUGGACCAAGAGUCUGAUCCAGCAAUUCUGUGUGCACGAUGAAGUUUUUCGGAAUGUAAAGUGCUUUCAGUUGGGAAGAAAAAAAUGACGGUACCAACAGAAGAAGUAACGGCUAAAUACGUG
rnacentral:rRNA from 1 species